rnacentral:lncRNA from 1 species
AGCCUUUCAGGAGCUGAGAUGAAAGGUAUUAGCCACUCUGCCUGACCCUUCUUCAUCUCUCUCAGGAGCAUUUGUAUGCAUGUGAAUUCCUUUUCUUUGGAAUCAGAAGAGCUACUGAGUAAUCCACAGCACCAGCAGGAAGAAGAGCCCCUGUCUUUCAAAUGAUAAUGGACAGGGUCCAGAGAUAGCAGUGAGAACUCCAUUGCUGGUGCUUUUCCACAGCUCCAGAGUCUCCUGAGAACGAAUUUGGCUGACUAGUGUGAAAGUCAGAAAGAGAAGGAAAAGUGGGCAUCGGAACUGAAGAUAAUGAGGAAAACAGAGACGGGAGUCUUUUGCAGCUAGACCUCUGCAUUGGGCUUGCUUACUGUGGGCCAUAGAUUUGUUUCUAGAAUGAGACCCAGACCUGCAGGCAAAUUGCCAUUGCCUUUGUAAAUGGUGAGCAGAGAUGGUGGAGCAGCCAUACCAGGGGAGACAUCCUCUGUCGUCUCGUGGUGGGCUCUAGGAAAAGAGUCUAUGAAAGCCCUGGGAGGGAUGUGCUUCAGGGUACCGGCCUUUCCUGGAAACCUCGCGUGGCAAGACCUAGGAGAAGAAGGAGGGUCACCUCCUCCAUGUUUCCUAACCAAUUCCCAGAAAUACUGAGAGGCCUGCAGUGAGUGACCCCAAUGGAACCAUAGCGGACUUCCCAGUUUAUUUGUGCCAGAGAAUCAACAGAGCCCUCAGACUGGGCGUGAAGGCAAAGGACAUGAAAAACAGAGACACUGCAGAUAUCUAUGAUAGUGGCG